CCUACGGGUGGCAGCAGUGGGGGAUAUUGGACAAUGGGGGAAACCCUGAUGCAGCGACGCCGCGUGAGUGAAGAAGGAUUUCGGGAUGUAAAGCUCUAUUAGCAGGGAAGAAAAUGACAGUAUCUGAGCAAGAAGCCCCGGCUAACUCCGUGCCAGCAGACGCGGUAGUACGCGGGGGGCAAGCGUUUACCGGAUUUAUUGGGGGUACAGGGGGCGUAGACGGUUGUGUAAGAGUCGAGUGAAAUCCCGGGGCCCAACCCCGGAACUGCUUUGGAAACUGUGUAACUGGAGUACAGGAGGGGCAGGCGGAAUUCCUGGUGUAGCGGUGAAAUGCGUAGAUAUCAGGAGGAACACCGGCGGCGAAGGCGGUCUGCUGGACUGAAACUGACGUUGAGGCUCGAAAGCGUGGGGAGCAAACAGGAUUAGAUACCCUAGUAGUC
rnacentral:rRNA from 1 species